CGACCCAAGAUCCUUCUCUGCAGAGAUGUCAGGAGCUGCCACAAGAUCUGGGAAAAUUCCCAUACUUCUCAAGCAGCAGAGAAUUAGAAACACUAUUGCAUUCCACGGUUGAAGUGCAGAAGACAGGUCCCGGGCAAAUGACACCGUGCUGUCGUCAGAAAGCGGCGGACCCUACCUAGGCUCUGCAAAUUGACCUUUGGGUUGAACACGUCUCUGGAAAGAAAGCCUGGCAUAAAGAAAAACUGGGUUAUGCUGGAGCGUCAAUGCAGCUUUGUGAGGGUUGUGGAUUUUUCCCGUUCGGGUGAGAAAAUGAAGGCCAGAAAGAGGAAAAGACCGACCUGGAACAGCAAGCUCGUGUGUAGCUAGCCUGUGUUCCAGCUCCUCUUCAAACUGGACUCUGGACACGUGCACAGCAGGGCCAGCUUCGGUUCCAUGGUUCACAAAGUGAAUUCAUUCAGGGAACAUAAAUUCUUGGUCCAAGACUGGGUUGGACAAACAGGACACAGAGGGUGAAUACCGGUGCUGAACCAUCCAUUCAUUCAGCAGACGUU